rnacentral:rRNA from 1 species
CCUACGGGGGGCAGCAGUAGGGAAUCUUCCACAAUGGGCGAAAGCCUGAUGGAGCAACGCCGCGUGGGUGAUGAAGGUCUUCGGAUCGUAAAACCCUGUUGUUAGAGAAGAAAGUGCGUGAGAGUAACUGUUCACGUAUCGACGGUAUCUAACCAGCAAGCCACGGCUAACUACGUGCCAGCAGCCGCGGUAAUACGGAGGGGGCAAGCGUUAUCCGGAUUUAUUGGGCGUAAAGGGCACGCAGGCGGUCUUUUAAGUCUGAUGUGAAAGCCAUCGGCUUAACCGGGGUAGUGCAUUGGAAACUGGGAGACAUGAGUGCGUAAGAGGGGAGUGGAACUCCAUGUGUAGCGGUGAAAUGCGUAGAUAUCAGGAAGAACACCAGUGGCGAAAGCGGCUCUCUGGUCUGUAACUGACGCUGAGGUUCGAAAGCGUGGGUAGCAAACAGGAUUAGAUACCCUUGUAGUC